rnacentral:rRNA from 1 species
CGGGACGGGUGAGUAAUGUCUGGGAAACUGCCUGAUGGAGGGGGAUAACUACUGGAAACGGUAGCUAAUACCGCAUAACGUCGCAAGACCAAAAGAAGGGGGGACCGUUCGGGCCUCUUGCCAUCGGAUGUGCCCAGAUGGGAUUAGCUAGUAGGUGGGGUAACGGCUCACCUAGGCGACGAUCCCUAGCUGGUCUGAGAGGAUGACCAGCCACACUGGAACUGAGACACGGUCCAG